rnacentral:rRNA from 1 species
UUGAACGCUGGCGGCAGGCCUCACACAUGCAAGUCGAACGGUAACAGGAAGCAGCUUGCUGCUUCGCUGACGAGUGGCGGACGGGUGAGUAAUGUCUGGGAAACUGCCUGAUGGAGGGGGAUAACUACUGGAAACGGUAGCUAAUACCGCAUAACGUCGCAAGACCAAAGAGGGGGACCUUAGGGCCUCUUGCCAUCGGAUGUGCCCAGAUGGGAUUAGCUAGUAGGUGGGGUAACGGCUCACCUAGGCGACGAUCCCUAGCUGGUCUGAGAGGAUGACCAGCCACACUGGAACUGAGACACGGUCCAGACUCCUACGGGAGGCAGCAGUGGGGAAUAUUGCACAAUGGGCGCAAGCCUGAUGCAGCCAUGCCGCGUGUAUGAAGAAGGCCUUCGGGUUGUAAAGUACUUUCAGCGGGGAGGAAGGGAGUAAAGUUAAUACCUUUGCUCAUUGACGUUACCCGCAGAAGAAGCGCCGGCUAACUCCGUG